AAAUUUUACAGAACAAUCACCGGCAAAUUCAUUUGUUCUCUUGAUCAAUACUCAUAAGAGAAAUCCUCUGCCGGUGAUUUACGAAAACUCGCCGGAUAAUUAAUCCAAUUCCGGGGUGGAAAAUUAACCAAAACUUAUGAAAAUGGACUAAUUCCCAUGCUGGAAAUGUCAGAUGCACAAAAAUAAACAGAACACUUUUUUUUUUUUUUUUCUUUCCCAAAACAAACAGGUUCAGGAGCUUUCCUCCCGGUCCGCUCUCCAAACACGUUAUCGUCGUCGUCACCGACUCC
rnacentral:misc_RNA from 1 species